AGGCUGCUGGCGGUAGGUUCGCCCUGACGCCUUGGUGGUUCCCUGGCCGCGGCGACCGGUGGUCCCAUGUCCAUCCCGGCUCAGUGAGCUUCCCCGGGCCCUGUCUGGACAGGCCUGCCUGCGUGCUGGGACAUGUCUGGCCUCCAAGGACCGUCGGUGGGCGAUGGCUGCAACGGUGGAGGGGCCAGAGCUGGAGGCAGCUGCUGCCGCAGGAGAUGCUUCGGAGGAUUCGGAUGCAGGGUCCAGGGCGCUGCCUUUCCUGGGCGGCAACCGGCUGAGCUUGGACCUGUACCCCAGGGGCUGCCAGCAGCUGCUGCACCUGUGUGUCCAGCAGCCUCUUCAGCUGCUGCAGGUGGAAUUCUUGCGUCUGAGCACUCACGAGGACCCUCAGCUGCUGGAGGCCACCCUGGCCCAGCUGCCUCAGAGCCUGUCCUGCCUCCGCUCCCUGGUCCUCAAAGGUGAGUUCCACCUGUUCUGGGCCCUGUCUGCAUCUCUCACUCUGCCCUGCCUCUGCUGCAUGUCCUCAAAGGCAAACCCGGGUCCCAGCCCCAGCUCCAGGCCGCCCCUUCCGGCUCCCCAGGUGUGAACUGUUCUGCUCUUGGUCCUGUCCAGCCCCAUCGCCAUCCUCGGCAAUCACCACCCCCAGUGUGGGGCUGGCUGGGCCCUGGCUCCCGGACCCUGACGCUGCCCAGUGGGGGUCUCUCCAGACCACAGUGCAGAUGUUGUUCCUGGGGAAGGUUGUGGGUGAUGGUUGUCAGCUGAGAUGAGCCGGUGGUCUCCACCCCUGUCUCCUUCCAUCUGCAGGCACCUCUCCAGUGUUUCUGUCUGUCUGUCCCUGUCUGGCUGGGGUGGGGGUGGGGUGGGAGGUCUGUGCCUCUUGAGCAGCUGUUUCUCUGGCUGGCAGGGUCGAUCUGGACCUCGGACCCUGGCUCUGAGGGCCACAUCCGCCUCCCCCCUUCCCAGGAGGGCAACGCCGGGACACACUGGGUGCCUGUCUCCGGGGUGCCCUGACCAACCUGCCUGCUGGUCUGAGUGGCCUGGCCCAUCUGGCCCACCUGGACCUGAGCUUCAACAGCCUGGAGACACUGCCGGCCUGUGUCCUGCGGAUGCGAGGUCUGGGUGCACUCUUGCUGUCUCACAACUGCCUCUCUGAGCUGCCUGAGGCUCUGGGGGCCAUCCCCGCCCUCACUUUCCUCGCGGUGACACACAACCGCCUGCAGACGCUGCCCCCAGCACUGGGGGCCCUAUCCACCCUGCAGCGCCUCGAUCUUUCUCAGAACCUGCUGGACACGCUACCUCCUGAGAUUGGAGGCCUGGGCAGCCUCCUGGAGCUCAACCUAGCCUCCAACCGGCUGCAGAGCCUCCCGGCCUCUCUAGGUGAGUAGCCCCUGCACCCCUGGCACACUGGCCCCACGGGAGGGCCCCUGAAGCCUGCCUGUCUUCUGCAGGGGCCUCUGCACCCACAGGCUUGGUCCACAGCUGCCUCUUGGUUGUCCCUCCACCUCCCUGGCCUUUGAGACUCCCUCAGCGGCUUUGUCGGAGUUCUCUGAGCCCAGCUGUGGAGGAGAGUCUGAAACAGCUGCUCUGGGAGGCGGCAGCAGGAGUGUCCCAGCGCCGCAGGCCGGGCUGGUGCUGAGCCUAAGCCAGCACCUGCCCGCAGCGGGACUUCGGUCCUUGCGGCUCCUUGUCCUGCACAGCAACCUCCUGGCCUCUGUGCCAGCUGGCCUGGCCCGCCUCCCGUUCCUCACCCGGCUUGACCUGAGGGACAAUCAGCUCCGGGACGUGCCCCCUGAGCUGCUAGACGCCCCCUUCGUGCGCCUGCAGGGGAACCCCCUGGGCGAGGCCUCGCCAGGCGCCCCGAGUUCACCAGUGGCAGCCCUCAUUCCAGAAAUGCCCAGACUGUUCCUGACCUCAGAUUUGGACAGCUUUCCUGUGACCCCUCGAGGCUGCUCAGUGACCCUGGCCUGUGGCGUCCGCCUGCAGUUCCCAGCGGGAGCCACUGCCACCCCCAUCACCAUCCACUAUCGGCUGCUGCUGCCAGAGCCAGGCCUCGUCCCCCUGGGUCCUCAUGAUGCCCUGCUCAGCCAUGUGCUAGAGCUGCAGCCCCACGGUGUGGCCUUCCAGCAGGAUGUGGGGCUGUGGCUGCUCUUCACCCCACCGCGGGCCCGGCGCUGCCGUGAAGUGGUGGUCAGGACCCGGAAUGACAACAGCUGGGGUGACCUGGAGACCUACCUGGAGGAAGAGGCACCCCAGCGGCUCUGGGCUCACUGCCAGGCGCCCCACUUCUCCUGGUUCCUUGUGGUUUCCCGCCCUGUGUCCAAUGCCUGCCUGGUGCCACCAGAGGGGACACUGCUGUGCUCCUCGGGUCAUCCUGGGGUCAAAGUCAUCUUCCCCCCUGGGGCCACUGAGGAGCCUCGUCGAGUCUCCAUGCAGGUAUGGCCAGGACAGCACUGAGGGUGGCAGGCAGCGCCUCACCCCACAGGCAGGUGCUCAGGGGGCCUGUCUGCCCCAGGUGGUGCGCAUGGCUGGCCGAGAGCUGCAGGCCCUCCUGGGAGAACCAGAGGCUGCAGUGAGCCCCCUGCUGUGCCUCUCACAGAACGGUCCCCCCAGCUUCCUCCGACCGGUCACCGUGCAGCUGCCUCUGCCCUCCGGCAUCACAGGCCUCAGUCUGGACCGGUCCCGCCUGCACCUGUUGUACUGGGCCCCUCCUGCAGCCACCUGGGAUGACAUCACAGCUCAGGUGGGCCUGGAGCUCACCCACCUGUAUGCACGCUUCCAGGUCACACACUUCUCCUGGUCAGUGCCCCCCAGCUUUCUCAGCUCCCCUCCCCCCAGUCUGUACAGCCCUCCUCACCCCCAGUCCUCCCAGGUACUGGCUCUGGUACACCACCAAGAACUGCGUGGGAGGCCUGGCUCGGAAGGCCUGGGAGCGGCUGCGGCUGCACCGUGUGAACCUCAUCGCUCUGCAGCGGCGCCGGGACCCUGAGCAGGUCCUGCUGCAGUGCCUGCCCCGAAACAAGGUGGACGCCACCCUUCGGCGGCUGCUGGAGCGGUACCGGGGCCCUGAGCCCUCUGACACGGUGGAGAUGUUCGAGGGCGAAGAGUUCUUUGCGGCCUUUGAGCGCGGCAUCGACGUGGAUGCUGACCGCCCUGACUGUGUGGAGGGCAGAAUCUGCUUUGUCUUCUACUCGCACCUGAAGAAUGUGAAGGAGGUAUACGUGACUACUGCCCUGGACCGGGAGGCUCAGGCUGUGCGGGGCCAGGUGUCCUUCUACCGUGGUGCAGUGCCCGUACAGGUGCCCGAGGAGGCUGAGGCUGCCCGGCAGAGGAAGGGCGCAGACGCCCUGUGGAUGGCCACUCUGCCCAUCAAGCUGCCGGUGGGACUGAGGGACAGCAGAGGGGCGGGGCAGGACCGAGGCCCAGGGGUGACCAGGGUGACGUGGUGGAGUUGGGGGUGGAGCCCAGGGCUUACUGCAUUUUUUCCUUCCAACAGAGACUUCGGGGGUCCGAGGGGCCACGGCGGGGGGCUGGCCUCUCCUUGGCACCCUUGAACCUGGGAGAUGCUGAGACCGGCUUUCUGACGCAGAGCAACCUGCUGAGUGUGGCUGGGCGCCUGGGUCCGGACUGGCCAGCCGUGGCCCUGCACCUGGGCGUGUCCUACCGCGAGCUGCAGCGCAUCCGGCACGAGUUCCGGGAUGAUCUGGAUGGGCAGAUCCGCCACAUGCUCUUCUCCUGGGCUGAGCGCCAGGCUGGGCAGCCGGGGGCUGUGGGGCUCCUGGUGCAGGCCCUGGAGCAGAGUGACCGGCAGGACGUGGCUGAAGAGGUGCGCGCAGUCUUGGAGCUUGGCCGCCGCAAGUACCAGGACGGCAUCCGACGCACGGGCUUGGCCCCCAAGGACUCCGCUCUGCCUGGCUCCUCAGCUCCACAGCCCCCAGAGCCUCCCCAGGCCUAGGCUCCACAGACUUUAGGCUGGCCCAGAUAUUCCCCAGUGGAUGGGCAGAGCCCCCACCUUCAAGUCUCUCCAGUGUAUGGGGACAGGUCCCUGUGAGCAACAAAACUGCACUGUUUCUUUG
rnacentral:sRNA from 1 species